GGUUAAGCGACUAAGCGUACACGGUGGAUGCCCUGGCAGUCAGAGGCGAUGAAGGACGUGCUAAUCUGCGAUAAGCGUCGGUAAGGUGAUAUGAACCGUUAUAACCGGCGAUUUCCGAAUGGGGAAACCCAGUGUGAUUCGUCACACUAUCAUUAACUGAAUCCAUAGGUUAAUGAGGCGAACCGGGGGAACUGAAACAUCUAAGUACCCCGAGGAAAAGAAAUCAACCGAGAUUCCCCCAGUAGCGGCGAGCGAACGGGGAGGAGCCCAGAGCCUGAAUCAGUGUGUGUGUUAGUGGAAGCGUCUGGAAAGGCGCGCGAUACAGGGUGACAGCCCCGUACACAAAAAUGCACAUGCUGUGAGCUCGAUGAGUAGGGCGGGACACGUGGUAUCCUGUCUGAAUAUGGGGGGACCAUCCUCCAAGGCUAAAUACUCCUGACUGACCGAUAGUGAACCAGUACCGUGAGGGAAAGGCGAAAAGAACCCCGGCGAGGGGAGUGAAAAAGAACCUGAAACCGUGUACGUACAAGCAGUGGGAGCCUCUUUAUGGGGUGACUGCGUACCUUUUGUAUAAUGGGUCAGCGACUUAUAUUCUGUAGCAAGGUUAACCGAAUAGGGGAGCCGAAGGGAAACCGAGUCUUAACUGGGCGUUAAGUUGCAGGGUAUAGACCCGAAACCCGGUGAUCUAGCCAUGGGCAGGUUGAAGGUUGGGUAACACUAACUGGAGGACCGAACCGACUAAUGUUGAAAAAUUAGCGGAUGACUUGUGGCUGGGGGUGAAAGGCCAAUCAAACCGGGAGAUAGCUGGUUCUCCCCGAAAGCUAUUUAGGUAGCGCCUCGUGAAUUCAUCUCCGGGGGUAGAGCACUGUUUCGGCAAGGGGGUCAUCCCGACUUACCAACCCGAUGCAAACUGCGAAUACCGGAGAAUGUUAUCACGGGAGACACACGGCGGGUGCUAACGUCCGUCGUGAAGAGGGAAACAACCCAGACCGCCAGCUAAGGUCCCAAAGUCAUGGUUAAGUGGGAAACGAUGUGGGAAGGCCCAGACAGCCAGGAUGUUGGCUUAGAAGCAGCCAUCAUUUAAAGAAAGCGUAAUAGCUCACUGGUCGAGUCGGCCUGCGCGGAAGAUGUAACGGGGCUAAACCAUGCACCGAAGCUGCGGCAGCGACACUAUGUGUUGUUGGGUAGGGGAGCGUUCUGUAAGCCUGCGAAGGUGUACUGUGAGGUAUGCUGGAGGUAUCAGAAGUGCGAAUGCUGACAUAAGUAACGAUAAAGCGGGUGAAAAGCCCGCUCGCCGGAAGACCAAGGGUUCCUGUCCAACGUUAAUCGGGGCAGGGUGAGUCGACCCCUAAGGCGAGGCCGAAAGGCGUAGUCGAUGGGAAACAGGUUAAUAUUCCUGUACUUGGUGUUACUGCGAAGGGGGGACGGAGAAGGCUAUGUUGGCCGGGCGACGGUUGUCCCGGUUUAAGCGUGUAGGCUGGUUUUCCAGGCAAAUCCGGAAAAUCAAGGCUGAGGCGUGAUGACGAGGCACUACGGUGCUGAAGCAACAAAUGCCCUGCUUCCAGGAAAAGCCUCUAAGCAUCAGGUAACAUCAAAUCGUACCCCAAACCGACACAGGUGGUCAGGUAGAGAAUACCAAGGCGCUUGAGAGAACUCGGGUGAAGGAACUAGGCAAAAUGGUGCCGUAACUUCGGGAGAAGGCACGCUGAUAUGUAGGUGAAGUCCCUCGCGGAUGGAGCUGAAAUCAGUCGAAGAUACCAGCUGGCUGCAACUGUUUAUUAAAAACACAGCACUGUGCAAACACGAAAGUGGACGUAUACGGUGUGACACCUGCCCGGUGCCGGAAGGUUAAUUGAUGGGGUUAGCGCAAGCGAAGCUCUUGAUCGAAGCCCCGGUAAACGGCGGCCGUAACUAUAACGGUCCUAAGGUAGCGAAAUUCCUUGUCGGGUAAGUUCCGACCUGCACGAAUGGCGUAAUGAUGGCCAGGCUGUCUCCACCCGAGACUCAGUGAAAUUGAACUCGCUGUGAAGAUGCAGUGUACCCGCGGCAAGACGGAAAGACCCCGUGAACCUUUACUAUAGCUUGACACUGAACAUUGAGCCUUGAUGUGUAGGAUAGGUGGGAGGCUUUGAAGUGUGGACGCCAGUCUGCAUGGAGCCGACCUUGAAAUACCACCCUUUAAUGUUUGAUGUUCUAACGUUGGCCCCUGAUCGGGGUUGCGGACAGUGUCUGGUGGGUAGUUUGACUGGGGCGGUCUCCUCCUAAAGAGUAACGGAGGAGCACGAAGGUUGGCUAAUCCUGGUCGGACAUCAGGAGGUUAGUGCAAUGGCAUAAGCCAGCUUGACUGCGAGCGUGACGGCGCGAGCAGGUGCGAAAGCAGGUCAUAGUGAUCCGGUGGUUCUGAAUGGAAGGGCCAUCGCUCAACGGAUAAAAGGUACUCCGGGGAUAACAGGCUGAUACCGCCCAAGAGUUCAUAUCGACGGCGGUGUUUGGCACCUCGAUGUCGGCUCAUCACAUCCUGGGGCUGAAGUAGGUCCCAAGGGUAUGGCUGUUCGCCAUUUAAAGUGGUACGCGAGCUGGGUUUAGAACGUCGUGAGACAGUUCGGUCCCUAUCUGCCGUGGGCGCUGGAGAACUGAGGGGGGCUGCUCCUAGUACGAGAGGACCGGAGUGGACGCAUCACUGGUGUUCGGGUUGUCAUGCCAAUGGCACUGCCCGGUAGCUAAAUGCGGAAGAGAUAAGUGCUGAAAGCAUCUAAGCACGAAACUUGCCCCGAGAUGAGUUCUCCCUGACUCCCUGAGAGUCCUGAAGGAACGUUGAAGACGACGACGUUGAUAGGCCGGGUGUGUAAGCGCAGCGAUGCGUUGAGCUAACCGGUACUAAUGAACCGUGAGGCUUAACCUU
rnacentral:rRNA from 1 species